GGAGAGAUGGCCGAGUGGCUGAAGGCACAGCUUUGCUAAAGCUGCAUAGGGGAAACUCUAUCGAGGGUUCGAAUCCCUCUCUCUCCGCCA
rnacentral:tRNA from 6 species